rnacentral:rRNA from 1 species
CAGUCGAGCGAACGGAUAAGGAGCUUGCUCCUUUGAAGUUAGCGGCGGACGGGUGAGUAACACGUGGGUAACCUACCUAUAAGACUGGAAUAACUUCGGGAAACCGGAGCUAAUGCCGGAUAACAUAUAGAACCGCAUGGUUCUAUAGUGAAAGAUGGUUUUGCUAUCACUUAUAGAUGGACCCGCGCCGUAUUAGCUAGUUGGUAAGGUAAUGGCUUACCAAGGCGACGAUACGUAGCCGACCUGAGAGGGUGAUCGGCCACACUGGAACUGAGACACGGUCCAGACUCCUACGGGAGGCAGCAGUAGGGAAUCUUCCGCAAUGGGCGAAAGCCUGACGGAGCAACGCCGCGUGAGUGAUGAAGGUUUUCGGAUCGUAAAACUCUGUUAUUAGGGAAGAACAAAUGCGUAAGUAACUGUGCGCAUCUUGACGGUACCUAAUCAGAAAGCCACGGCUAACUACGUGCCAGCAGCCGCGGUAAUACGUAGGUGGCAAGCGUUAUCCGGAAUUAUUGGGCGUAAAGCGCGCGUAGGCGGUUUCUUAAGUCUGAUGUGAAAGCCCACGGCUCAACCGUGGAGGGUCAUUGGAAACUGGGAAACUUGAGUGCAGAAGAGGAAAGUGGAAUUCCAUGUGUAGCGGUGAAAUGCGCAGAGAUAUGGAGGAACACCAGUGGCGAAGGCGACUUUCUGGUCUGUAACUGACGCUGAUGUGCGAAAGCGUGNGGAUCAAACAGGAUUAGAUACCCUGGUAGUCCACGCCGUANACGAUGAGUGCUAAGUGUUAGGGGGUUUCCGCCCCUUAGUGCUGCAGCUAACGCAUUAAGCACUCCGCCUGGGGAGUACGACCGCAAGGUUGAAACUCAAAGGAAUUGACGGGGACCCGCACAAGCGGUGGAGCAUGUGGU